rnacentral:rRNA from 1 species
AUGCCGAACUCAGAAGUGAAACGCCGUAGCGCCGAUGGUAGUGUGGGGUCUCCCCAUGCGAGAGUAGGGAACUGCCAGGCAU